AGCAGCCGCGGUAAUUCCAGCUCCAAUAGCGUAUAUUAAAGUUGUUGCAGUUAAAAAGCUCGUAGUUGAAUUUCGGGAUCAAUAUGUUGGUCGUGCCUUGGUACGUACUGGCAUUAUUGGUUUCUACCUUCUGAAGAACCUCGAUGUCAUUAAUUUGGUGUCUUGGGGAAUCAGGACUGUUACUUUGAAAAAUUAGAGUGUUUAAAGCAGGCUCGCGCUUGAAUACAUUAGCAUGGAAUAAUGAAAUAGGACGUUUGAUUCUAUUUUGUUGGUUUCUAGGAUUGACGUAAUGAUUAAUAGGGAUAGUUGGGGGCAUUAGUAUUCAAUUGUCAGAGGUGAAAUUCUUGGAUUUAUUGAAGACUAACUACUGCGAAAGCAUUUGCCAAGGAUGUUUUCAUUAAUCAAGAACGAAAGUUAGGGGAUCGAAGACGAUCAGAUACCGUCGUAGUC
rnacentral:rRNA from 1 species